rnacentral:rRNA from 1 species
UUAAAUUGAGAGUUUGAUCCUGGCUCAGGACGAACGCUGGCGGCGUGCUUAACACAUGCAAGUCGAACGGGAUUUAGUAAACGGAAGCCUCGGUGGAAGAUUACUAAUGAGAGUGGCGAACGGGUGAGUAACGCGUGAGCAACCUGCCUAUGACAGUGGGAUAGCCUCGGGAAACCGGGAUUAAUACCGCAUAAAAUCGUAGAAACA